CCCCAGGCGGAGUGCUUAAUGCGUUAGCUGCAGCACUAAGGGGCGGAAACCCCCUAACACUUAGCACUCAUCGUUUACGGCGUGGACUACCAGGGUAUCUAAUCCUGUUUGAUCCCCACGCUUUCGCACAUCAGCGUCAGUUACAGACCAGAAAGUCGCCUUCGCCACUGGUGUUCCUCCAUAUCUCUGCGCACUUCACCGCUACACAUGGAAUUCCACUUUCCUCUUCUGCACUCAAGUUUUCCAGUUUCCAACGACCCUCCACGGUUGAGCCGUGGGCUUUCACAUCAGACUUAAAAAACCGCCUACGCGCGCUUUACGCCCAAUAAUUCCGGAUAACGCUUGCCACCUACGUAUCACCGCGGCUGCUGGCACGUAGUUAGCCGUGGCUUUCUGAUUAGGUACUGUCAAGAUGUGCACAGUUACUUACACAUAUGUUCUUCCCUAAUAACAGAGUUUUACGAUCCGAAGACCUUCAUCACUCACGCGGCGUUGCUCCGUCAGGCUUUCGCCCAUUGCGGAAGAUUCCCUACUGCUGCCUCCCGUAGGAGUCUGGACCGUGUCUCA
rnacentral:rRNA from 1 species